AAGAUGGGGGGGAGGAGCCAAGAUGGCCGAAUAGGAACAGCUCCUGUCUACAGCUCCCAGCUUGAGCCACGCAGAAGAUGGGUGAUUUCUGCAUUUCCAUCUGAGGUACCAGGCUACACCCUGCAAGGUCAUUAUCAUUAGCUGCACUUUACAGGAGAGGAAGCUGAGGCUCAGAGAAGCAAACUGCCCUCCUACUUAUGUUGAAGACUUUCCCAUCCUAUGAGCCCAGGUGGGAGAAGCUGAAAAUGGCAGAAGGUCACUUUUCCAGCUGCCCUGUGCCUGCACUUCAGGGCCAAGGAGUUUGAAGAAGUCCAAGGUAGAGCUUUCUGGAAAAUCCUCUGGAGAGGUUGAUCAGAAACCUUCUCCCACAUAAACAAAGGACCCAGGAAGAAGCUAAAAAUGGGCCAUGAGAUUGUCUUUAUUCAUCAAGCCUGAAGUUUUCUGACUCUAUCUUUCUUUUCCCGUGGCCACUGUUACCUCUCCAGAACAGACCCCAUCACCUGAAUUCUGCCUGAGCCUCGACAGAUAUGCUCAGCUGCUCUCCCAUGCUGGCUGUUGUUACCCCAACCCACUUAAAAUUCCUUGAGGUCUUAGAAGCUCUCUCCCACCAAGGUGCCGAAAGAAGUAUUUCACAGGUUCUCAGUGACAAUUGUUUAUUGAAAUUUACACUGAUGAGAAGUGGUCCCUAUUAAGGGAAUUCAAUCCAAGGAGAUUGGCUCUAUACUUUGAACCGCUGUGGCCAAAUAAAUAGAUGACUGCUUGCUGCAAUUAUAUUGCUGUGGUCUUUGUAUAAAUAGAUUACCAAGAAUAGGACUCCACACAUCUAUCACCUUGGAAAGCUGAUUUGUAUAAUCUGGACAGGUGGCAAGGAAACGUAACUGUCUGCUCAAGGGAGAGCCUGCCUGGGGCAGAGGAAGAGAGUCUGAGUAGCAUCCCAGUUAAGUGCUCAAGCCCUGAGGUCAGGCUGCCUGCAUUUGAAUCCUGAUUCUGCCACCAAUUUUCUAAGUGGCAUGGCAAUGUUCUUAAACUUCCCUUUGUGUCAUAGUAAGCAACCGAAAAAUGGUGCUGAGGAUAGAGAACUCCAAAAAUAGAAAUUAUUGCUAGAAGGUUCCCUUGCAGUGGAUAUCGGGGAUUCAAUCUGUUAGUAUCCAGAAACUAGUUUUUCUGUUACUUUUGUGAAACCACUCAAGAUCUCUGUUUAACAAGCCUCCCAAAGAUCUUUUUUCAAUAUGUUUAUAUGUCUUGGGGAUUACAGCACUUGUGGGUUUCAGCAGAACUCUUUUUGCAGAGGUCUGGUGGUGUAGGAAAAGGGCUGUAGACUAGGAUCUGGGAGACAGACAUGUCUAUGUUGAGACCUGCCUCUGGAGCACUGGCCACCCUCUCCAAGCUGCUGCAGUUCUCUGAGAUCCAACUGUCUCCCCUGUUACAUAAUCACCACAGUUAAAAUAUCAAAGUUUAUAUCAACCCCAAAAGUUACCUCCUGCUUCUUUGUAAUCUUUGCCUCCAUCCACCCUUAUUCCUAGGCAACCACUGAUCUGUUUUAUGUCAAUACAGAUCAUUUUGCAUUCUCUCUAAUUUCAUAUACAUUGCAUCAUACUUUAUGCACUCUUUUAUCUGGAUACUUUCACUUAACAUAAUUAUUUUCACAUGCAUUCAUGUUGUUGUGUGCAACAACAGUUUAUUAGUUUUCAUUGCUGAAUAGUAUUCCAUUGUGUGGAUAUACCACAUUUGUUUA
ensembl:lncRNA novel transcript, antisense to EPHB1